rnacentral:ncRNA from 1 species
UUGCAGGCCAAGAUUGGAAAUAGUAAAAGUGAUUGUGUACUUGUAGAGAGCCGAUGGUUGGUGUAAAUCGGUAGACACACAUUUUGAACUCGUCCAUGAGCUACUCCCUGAACAUAAUAGUAAGGGAUGUCGGUUUCCCCCGUUAACAGGAUAGACAGUGAUAGCUGUCGAUAAGUGGACUUUUUCUGUAAUGAGAAGGUCAAUUAGAGUGGUACCGCGAGCAUAAACUCGUCUCUAUU